rnacentral:rRNA from 1 species
UGGGCGUAAGCGCACGCAGGCGGUCUGUUAAGUCAGAUGUGAAAUCCCCGGGCUUAACCUGGGAACUGCAUUUGAAACUGGCAGGCUUGAGUCUCGUAGAGGGGGGUAGAAUUCCAGGUGUAGCGGUGAAAUGCGUAGAGAUCUGGAGGAAUACCGGUGGCGAAGGCGGCCCCCUGGACGAAGACUGACGCUCAGGUGCGAAAGCGUGGGGAGCAAACAGGAUUAGAUACCCUGGUAGUCCACGCCGUAAACGAUGUCGACUUGGAGGUUGUUCCCUUGAGGAGUGGCUUCCGGAGCUAACGCGUUAAGUCGACCGCCUGGGGAGUACGGCCGCAAGGUUAAAACUCAAAUGAAUUGACGGGGGCCCGCACAAGCGGUGGAGCAUGUGGUUUAAUUCGAUGC